UCCAGACUCCUACGGGAGGCAGCAGUGGGGGAUAUUGCACAAUGGGGGAAACCCUGAUGCAGCGACGCCGCGUGGGUGAAGGAGCACCUCGGUGCGUAAAGCCCUAUCGGCAGGGAAGAAAAGCGAACAGGUUCGCCUGGACGGUACCUGACUAAGAAGCCCCGGCUAACUACGUGCCAGCAGCCGCGGGAAUACGUAGGGGGCAAGCGUUAUCCGGAUUCACUGGGUGUAAAGGGAGCGUAGGCGGGGAUGCAAGUUGGGUGUCAAAACUACCGGCUCAACCGAUAGUCGCACUCAAAACUGCAGCUCUUGAGUGAAGUAGAGGCAGGCGGAAUUCCUAGUGUAGCGGUGAAAUGCGUAGAUAUUAGGAGGAACACCAGUGGCGAAGGCGGCCUGCUGGGCUUUUACUGACGCUGAGGCUCGAAAGUGUGGGGAGCAAACAGGAUUAGAUACCCCCGUA
rnacentral:rRNA from 1 species